rnacentral:rRNA from 1 species
GAUGAACGCUAGCGGCAGGCCUAAUACAUGCAAGUCGGACGGGAUUUGGGAGCUUGCUCCCAAUGAGAGUGGCGCACGGGUGCGUAACACGUAUGUAACCUACCUUAGUCAGGGGGAUAGCCUCUCGAAAGAGAGAUUAAGACCGCAUAAAAUCACAGUAUAGCAUUAUACAAUGAUCAAAUAUUUAUAGGACUAAGAUGGGCAUGCGGAACAUAGCUAGUUGGUGAGGUAACGGCCCACAAGGCUACGAUGUUUAGGGGAUCUGAGAGGAUGACCCCCCANACUGGUACUGAGACACGGACCAGACUCCUACGGGAGGCAGCAGUAA